AUACGUAGGGGGCGAGCGUUGUCCGGAAUGAUUGGGCGUAAAGGGCGCGUAGGCGGCGCGGUAAGUCUGGAGUGAAAGUCCUGCUCUCAAGGUGGGAAUUGCUUUGGAUACUGCCGCGCUUGAGUGCAGGAGAGGUUAUCGGAAUUCCCGGUGUAGCGGUGAAAUGCGUAGAGAUCGGGAGGAACACCAGUGGCGAAGGCGGGGAACGGGACUGCAAAUGACGCGUGGGCGCGAAAGUGUGGGGAGCAAACAGGAUUAGAUACCCUGGUAGUCCACGCCGUAAACGAUGAAUGCUAGGUGUUGGGUGCCAAUAGGGAUUCGGUGCCGCAGCUAACGCAAUAAGUAUGCCACCUGGGGAGUACGUUCGCAAGAAUGAAACUCAAAGGAAUUGACGGGG
rnacentral:rRNA from 1 species